rnacentral:lncRNA from 1 species
CUUUAGAAGCUGUGCUGGGGUUCUACGAUGAUACACCAACCACUUGUGCUGCCACCUGUCAAAACUUUGGAUGGCCCUACUUUCAGGUCAUGACCUUGAAUUUAAGAAAUUCUUCAGGACAAUGUCCAAUAUGAUCCGAGGGAAAAUGUGAUUUGAGUCUGGAGACAAUUGUGAAUAUCAACUAAUAAUAAAAACCCAGUAUAGCUGAUAGAAGAAAAAACG